AUACGUAGGGGGCAAGCGUUAACCGGAUUUACUGGGUGUAAAGGGAGCGUAGACGGAAGGCCAAGUCUGAUGUGAAAGCCCGCGGCUCAACUGCGGGACUGCAUUGGAAACUGGCCAUCUGGAGUGCAGGAGGGGUAAGCGGAAUUCCUAGUGUAGCGGUGAAAUGCGUAGAUAUUAGGAGGAACACCGGUGGCGAAGGCGGCUUACGGGACUGUAACUGACGUUGAGGCUCGAAAGCGUGGGGAGCAAACAGGAUUAGAUACCCUGGUGGUCCACGCCGUAAACGAUGAAUACUAGGUGUGGGGGGACUGACCCCCUCCGUGCCGCAGUUAACACAAUAAGUAUUCCACCUGGGGAGUACGGCCGCAAGGUUGAAACUCAAAUGAAUUGACGGGG
rnacentral:rRNA from 1 species